CCUACGGGAGGCAGCAGUGAGGAAUAUUGGUCAAUGGACGAGAGUCUGAACCAGCCAAGUAGCGUGAAGGAUGACUGCCCUAUGGGUUGUAAACUUCUUUUAUAUGGGAAUAAAACGUUCCACGUGUGGGAUUUUGUAUGUACCAUAUGAAUAAGGAUCGGCUAACUCCGUGCCAGCAGCCGCGGUAAUACGGAGGAUCCGAGCGUUAUCCGGAUUUAUUGGGUUUAAAGGGAGCGUAGGUGGAUUGGUAAGUCAGUUGUGAAAGUUUGCGGCUCAACCGGAAAAUUGCAGUUGAAACUGGCAGUCUUGAGUACAGUAGAGGUGGGCGGAAUGCGUGGUGUAGCGGUGAAAUGCUUAGAGAUCACGAAGAACUCCGAUUGCGAAGGCAGUUCACUGGACUGCAACUGACACUGAGGCUCGAAAGUGUGGGUAUCAAACAGGAUUAGAUACCCGAGUAGUC
rnacentral:rRNA from 1 species